GAUGAACGCUAGCGGCAGGCCUAAUACAUGCAAGUCGAACGGUGUCUUCGGACAUAGUGGCGCACGGGUGCGUAACACGUAUGCAACCUACCUUACAUUGGGGGAUAGCCUUUCGAAAGGGAGAUUAAUACCGCAUAAGACAGUAGCUGGGCAUCCAGCAGCUGUUAAAGAUUUAUCGAUGUAAGCUGGGCAUGCGUCCAAUUAGCUAGUUGGUGAGGUAACGGCUCACCAAGGCAAUGAUUGGUAGGGGAACUGAGAGGUCAAUCCCGCACACGGGAGCUGGGAUACGGGCCAGACUCCUACGGGAGGGAGCAGUAGGGAAUAUUGGGCAAUUGACGAAAGUCUGACCCAGCCAUGCCGCGUGCAGGAUGAAGGCGUUAUGCGUUGUAAACUGCUUUUAUACAGGAAGAAACGACUCUUGCGAGAGGCAUUGACGGUACUGUAUGAAUAAGCACCGGCUAACUCCGUGCCAGCCGCCGCCGUAACAC
rnacentral:rRNA from 1 species